AAAAUAAUCAUGUCAAUUUGUAAUGAUUUCAUUGCUCAACACUGAAGUCAAUGUAUGGGAAUUCUCGAGGAUGAGUGCAAUGUGGAGGAUAUGACUUGACUCUACCAUGGCAAGGGGUAAGAGGAAAGGAUGAACUUGAUCGUCCCUGGAAAUGCAGAACAACCCAGGAGAUCUCCCUCUUCAAAGCGAGCGGGUGGAAGAUGCUUGCAAAAGAGCCCUGAAAACAGAACAACUUGAUUGAAGGCAGUUUGUGCGACAAUUGUGUCAUGGAAUACCUGACAUUUCUUUAUCUUUAUCUUAUUUCCUUUUGGAUAAUGCCAAUAAAUACUAGCUAUGCCAA